GUGACCAUUAUGUUCUAGGCUGAACCUUGAUCAAGUCCCAGACGGAACACCAGGGAGAAGAUUAGAGUCCAGUAGAAGACCAUGGUGGCUGUCAUAAUGGCAUCCUGGCAGGACCAGCAACAGAAACUCUGUUGAGGGCCUGGCACUGUUGAGUACCUGAAAUGGAAAGUCACAUGGAGUCCAGAGACUCAGCCUGCUGGGUAGCUGGAAGUCAGACCAGAGAGAAGCAGAUGUGCCAGCAGUGACAGAGGAAACCAUGCACUGGCAGAGAGAGAACAGCUACUUGACGUUCAGAAAUCCUUCACAUCUUCUUCAUGAGGUCUGAGCUGCAUUUUCUCAUAUGCUUUACAUCUUACCAAUAAAUUAAUUUUUUUCUCAAGCUAUCUAUUCUUUGCAACCAGAUAAU